GCAUCUGCCGGUUUGUAUUGCAGUGAGCUCAGUGUAAAUAAAUAUCAAACAAAAACAAUCUGACCCCAUGCACUUAACAGGGAUGACUUGACAUCACCAACAGCCAAUCAGAUGGUUUCAGGCAUGGCCAGCCCUCAGCAUCGGGUUCAGACAAGGCACUGUACUGGUCUCCAUCUUCAACCUGUAGGGACCAGGACAGAACAUUCCUCAGUUAGACCCUCAUUCAGAGAGACAGGCUGGGAGCAUUAAAAACAGCUGUAUCCAGACAGAAGCAAGCUCACUUUCUGGAGCUUUUGUUCAGAAAAGAAGCUUAUAGCAAAGUAACUAGUACAGUGCAUGUACCAUUGCCAGUUCCACAUGAAUGCCUGAUCCUGCCUGGGAACCUUGGGAAGGAGAGAGCCCGAGGCCCUGCUGAAUGGAAUCGACCUCUCGUUUUGGGAGAAGCAGGAACAAGCAGAAGUCUCUGUGGCAGGACAAGCCCUUGCCUCUUCUGCAGCAGGGGGUCUGAGCAGGACAACUCUUGGAUUCUGUCUUGUUGCCUGUGGCAGAAGAUUCAUUAUCUAUCCGUUACAGUUAUUAGCCUCGAUCCUGCAAGCUCAGACAUCCAGGUCGACCCCCACCAAAACUGAACUGCUUGAAACACAAAGAACCCAGGUGAUUAAGGUACAACCCAUUCAUCCUGUAUGUGAACCUUCUUGCAACAUGAAGAGAAUGAAGAACAUAGAUAAACUGGAUCCUAUGUCAGACCACAACCAAUACCUGAGACUUCAGAGGAAGAUGGAAGA